GGAAACGUGCCUGAAUUCCAAAGGGUAACUUUGAUAGAGUUAACAAUGGAGGUUAAAACCCUCCCGAUUCC
rnacentral:tRNA from 1 species